rnacentral:rRNA from 1 species
AACGGGGGGGGCGAGUGUUAUUCAUAAUCAUUGGGCGUAAAGCGCAUGUAGGUUGUUGAUUAAGUUCGGACCCUAGCCCCACUUUUAGUGGAGACGGUUCGAAAACUGAUCGACUAGAGUCCCAUAGGGGAUAGUGGAAUUUCUAGUGGAGAGUUUAAAUUCUUAGAUCCUAGAAGGAAGACCAAAGGCCGAGGCAACUAUCUAGGUGGAGACUGACGCUGAUGUGCGAAAGCAUGGGGAGCAAACAGG